rnacentral:rRNA from 1 species
UGGGGAAUUUUGGGCAAUGGGCGAAAGCCUGAUCCAGCAAUGCCGCGUGUGUGAAGAAGGCCUUCGGGUUGUAAAGCACUUUUGUCCGGAAAGAAAUCCUUGGCUCUAAUACAGUCGGGGGAUGACGGUACCGGAAGAAUAAGCACCGGCUAACUACGUGCCAGCAGCCGCGGUAAUACGUAGGGUGCAAGCGUUAAUCGGAAUUACUGGGCGUAAAGCGUGCGCAGGCGGUUUGCUAAGACCGAUGUGAAAUCCCCGGGCUCAACCUGGGAACUGCAUUGGUGACUGGCAGGCUAGAGUAUGGCAGAGGGGGGUAGAAUUCCACGUGUAGCAGUGAAAUGCGUAGAGAUGUGGAGGAAUACCGAUGGCGAAGGCAGCCCCCUGGGCCAAUACUGACGCUCAUGCACGAAAGCGUGGGGAGCAAACAGGAUUAGAUACCCUGGUAGUCCACGCCCUAAACGAUGUCAACUAGUUGUUGGGGAUUCAUUUCCUUAGUAACGUAGCUAACGCGUGAAGUUGACCGCCUGGGGAGUACGGUCGCAAGAUUAAAACUCAAAGGAAUUGAC